rnacentral:rRNA from 1 species
UACGUAGGGGGCAAGCGUUGUCCGGAAUUAUUGGGCGUAAAGAGCGUGUAGGCGGCCAGAUAAGUCCGCUGUGAAAUCUCGAGGCUCAACUUCGAGCUGUCGGUGGAAACUAUCUGGCUAGAGUCCGGAAGAGGAGAAUGGAAUUCCUGGUGUAGCGGUGAAAUGCGCAGAUAUCAGGAAGAACACCAGUGGCGAAGGCGGCUCACUGGCCCGAUACUGACGCUGAGGCACGAAAGCGUGGGGAGCAAACAGG